AUACAGAUUUUGGAGAAAUUUCUCUCAUUUUGUUUUGCGUUUGUUUUGUUCGGAAUUAGGUUUGAGGUUCCUCUUUUUAAUCGACGGAGGACAUUAUUGAUGGAGUAACUGAUCUCAACAUCGAAAUCUCCCUCUUCUUCUAUGGGAAACUUGCCAAGGUGUACCCUGAUCCAUACAUGAUUAACAUUAUGCAAUGGCUAGCAUUGGAACAAGGGUGAUCAUAUUCUUAUGCCAAGAUCUAAUUGGGCAAUGCACUUUGGAAAUGACAAUUCAAUGAUGCAAGGGGAUUCAAUGGAGGUAUCAGAAGCCUUUAUCAGCAGAUACAGAAUCUCCAGGACAAUUCUUAUAUGGUCGACAAAUGCAUGAAUAAGAUCAUUCUUUUGAUAGUACUGGUAGUGAACGUAGAGGUUAUAUGAAACAUGGUGGUCGUGG